UUCCGGUUGAUCCUGCCAGACCUGACUGCUAUCGGAUUGAUACUAAGCCAUGCGAGUCAUUGUAGCAAUACAAGGCAUACGGCUCAGUAACGCGUAGUCAACCAACCCUAUGGACGAGAAUAAUCUCGGGAAACUGAGCAUAAUUCUCGAUAGAUCAUAAUGCCUGGAAUGGUUUAUGGUUAAAAUGAUUCGUCGCCAUAGGAUGGGACUGCGGCCUAUCAGCUUGUUGGUGAGGUAAUGGCCCACCAAGGCGAUUACAGGUACGGGCUCUGAGAGGAGAAGCCCGGAGAUGGGUACUGAGACACGGACCCAGGCCCUAUGGGGCGCAGCAGGCGAGAAAACUUUGCAAUGUGCGAAAGCACGACAAGGUUAAUCCGAGUGAUUUCUGCUAAAGAAAUCUUUUGUCAGUCAUAAAACCACUGACGAAUAAGGGGUGGGCAAGUUCUGGUGUCAGCCGCCGCGGUAAAACCAGCACCUCAAGUGGUCAGGAUGAUUAUUGGGCCUAAAGCAUCCGUAGCCGGCCUUGUUAGUUUUCGGUUAAAUCCAUGUGCUCAACACAUGGGCUGCCGAAAAUACUGCAUGGCUAGGGAGUGGGAGAGGUAGACGGUACUCAGUAGGAAGGGGUAAAAUCCUUUGAUCUAUUGAUGACCACCUGUGGCGAAGGCGGUCUACCAGAACACGUUCGACGGUGAGGGAUGAAAGCUGGGGGAGCAAACCGGAUUAGAUACCCGGGUAGUCCCAGCUGUAAACGAUGCAGACUCGAUGAUGCAUUGGCAUAAUAGCCAGUGCAGUGUCGCAGGGAAGCCGUUAAGUCUGCCGCCUGGGAAGUACGUACGCAAGUAUGAAACUUAAAGGAAUUGGCGGGGGAGCACCACAAGGGGUGAAGCCUGCGGUUCAAUUGGAUUCAACGCCGGG
rnacentral:rRNA from 1 species